rnacentral:rRNA from 1 species
GAAGUUUAARGGGGGUUYCUUCAGGMCCWSUUYUKCCUGMGGGCCCCGSCYGMCAGKGUGAUGRAUAUUUUUYYSWWWSACCCUUAGAGUUUGAUCCUGGCUCAGAACGAACGCUGGCGGCGUGCCUAACACAUGCAAGUCGAACGGGAUGAGGGGCUUGCUCCUCAUUUAGUGGCGCACGGGUGAGUAACGCGUAGAUAAUCUGCCUGAUGAUCCGGGAUAACACUUCGAAAGGGGUGCUAAUACCGGAUAAGCCCACGGGUUCUUUGGAAUCUGCGGGAAAAGGGGGGGACCUUCGGGCCUUCUGUCAUCAGAUGAGUCUGCGUACCAUUAGCUAGUUGGUGGGGUAAUGGCCUACCAAGGCUACGAUGGUUAGCUGGUCUGAGAGGAUGAUCAGCCACACUGGAACUGAGACACGGUCCAGACUCCUACGGGAGGCAGCAGUGGGGAAUUUUGCGCAAUGGGGGAAACCCUGACUCAGCAACGCCGCGUGAGUGAUGAAGGCUUUCGGGUCGUAAAGCUCUGUCAGAGGGGAAGAAAUGAAACGUGCUAAUAUCACGUUUUCUUGACGGUACCCUCAAAGGAAGCACCGGCUAACUCCGUGCCAGCAGCCGCGGUAAUAC